AGUGGCCGUUUCGCGCAUGCUGUUGCCUGGGAUUUCACUGCUCUUAUUGUGUCAGCCCCUUGACUGGGCAAACUUCAAACAAGUGACUGAACUCCCUUAGCUGCCACUGAUUGGACCAGGAUGGACAACAAAUGUAGGAGGAGUUCAUCUGGAUCUAGCCUGAGCCAGUCAGAUGUCCCCUUUGAAUCCAUGCCUAUAGAAAUACAAAAAGUGGAAGCCAGAGGAUGAUGGAUCCUUGAAGUAAUAAGUCAGCUCUGUGGAAGUUUGAGUGACUCAUUGCAGAGAGGAAUUGAUGAAGUCAACAGCUGCUGGAA